UCAUCACGUGGUGACGCAACA
rnacentral:miRNA from 1 species